rnacentral:rRNA from 1 species
AGUGAACGCUGGCGGUAGGCCUAACACAUGCAAGUCGAACGGCAGCACAGUAAGAGCUUGCUCUUACGGGUGGCGAGUGGCGGACGGGUGAGGAAUACAUCGGAAUCUACUUUUUCGUGGGGGAUAACGUAGGGAAACUUACGCUAAUACCGCAUACGACCUACGGGUGAAAGCAGGGGAUCUUCGGACCUUGCGCGAUUGAAUGAGCCGAUGUCGGAUUAGCUAGUUGGCGGGGUAAAGGCCCACCAAGGCGACGAUCCGUAGCUGGUCUGAGAGGAUGAUCAGCCACACUGGAACUGAGACACGGUCCAGACUCCUACGGGAGGCAGCAGUGGGGAAUAUUGGACAAUGGGCGCAAGCCUGAUCCAGCCAUACCGCGUGGGUGAAGAAGGCCUUCGGGUUGUAAAGCCCUUUUGCUGGGAAAGAAAAGCAGCGGGUUAAGACCCCGCUGUUCUGACGGUACCCAAAGAAUAAGCACCGGCUAACUUCGUG